UUUUAUAGCAAAGAGAGAGAGAGAGAGAGAGAGAGAGAGAGAGAAUGAAGAAAUGAAAGAACUUAAUGGGAUAAAUGUGUGUGAGAGAGAGAGAGAGAGAGAGAGCCAAAAUACGUACAUAAAAACAGUCAUGUGUACCUCUAUAUAUAAACUUACAUGUAGGCAACCCUAUGUGUACCAAUUCUAUGUAUGUGUGGCCAUGUACGUAUCGAAUUCUGUGUACGUGAGGCCAUGUGUAACCAUAUCACCCCCAUGUGCAUGUGUACGUGUUGGGAAGCAUGUAAACCAGCCCUGUGUACGUAAAUAAGGGGCCAUGUGCGUAUUUUUAGCAUGUACGUAUCUUUUAGCAGGAAUUCCAUGUGCGUAUAUGAAAAAAAACGUUCACAUGUGCGUGUAGACAAGAAAACAACCACAUGUAUGCAUGUAAGAGGCUGUUUGUAAGUUUAUCAGCCCAUGUGCAUAUUGAAAAAACAGUCGUGUGUGCGUAUCAUAGCUGUACUGAAAGAAAAACAGUCACAUGUGAGUAUUGAAACCUGUGUGUACAUUGAGAAACAGUCAUGUACGUUUUUGUGUGUGUGUGCGCGUGUAUGUGUGUGUGUACAUUGAAAACUAGUAAUGGAAAGGUAUUAAAAAAUGUGUAUACCUGGCCAUGUACGUUUUCUGUGUGUGUGUGUGUGUGUGUGUGUGUGUGUGUGUGUGUGUGUGUGUGUGUGUGUUGGCAGGUGCGCAUGAGGUCUACUUGAGAGAGAGGGAGAGAGAAUUUACCCUUAAGUUUUAGCUCUCCCUUCACUCUCCCACGCGCGCUACCUCUCCCUCCUGCCCAGUGAGAGUAGCCACACUCUCCCUGCACACUGUGAAGUGAGCGAGUGAGCAAGGAGAGAGAGAGAGAGAGAGACAGAGAGACAGAGAUUAUUA